rnacentral:lncRNA from 1 species
CAUUUUCAAUUUAUUACUUUCAACAAAAUAGGGACAUUUUCAAAUAUACUAUAACUAAUCAUUUUUUAUAUUUCAGCAUGAGUGUAUGUAGGUUAGGUUAAGAGACAUUUUCAACCCAACCUAUGGGUUAUAUGAGUUGGCAACAUGAAUAACCGAAAAUCUAGUUUUCAAUGAAACCCGUAAAUAUAUAGGUUAGGUUGGGUCGUCGAGAUGACCAGAGAUGAAAUAUGACGAGGAAGAUGAGAUCUGAUGGAGAUGGAUGAGGAAGAUGAGAUAUGACGAUGCGAGGUCGAAAUAGAGGAGAGAGGAGACUCGUCGUUGGAAACGGAGGUGGACGACGCGAUUGUGAUGCGAGGUCGAAACAGAUGAGAGAGGAGACUCGUCGUUGGAAACGGAGGUGGACGACGCGAUUGUGAUGCGAGGUCGAAACAGAUGAGAGAGGAGACUCGUCGUUGGAAACGGAGGUGGACGACGCGAUUGUGAGGGAGAAUACCAGAGGAGGGAGAGAGGAGACCACAAAGAUGAUCAGAUCUAAUGGUACUAGGUGUAUAUAGAGGAGAGAGGAGACCCGCAGUCGAAAACGAAGAUGGAUGGCGCGAUUGUGAGAAAGAAGAUUGGAGAGUGAGGUGAGAUGAAAAAGAAGAAUUCUAGAGAAAAUGGAAGAUAGCAAAGAAGGGUGCGCGGCUCGAGAGAGGAAGACCUAAUUUUUAUAUUUUAUUUUAUUAAACAAUAUUCGUUUUUGAUUAGGUUGAACCAAAAUUUUCAACUCUCCAAAUGGAGAUCCAACUUAACCCAACAACUCUUAGAAUAUAAAUUGAAUAGUCCGAAUUAUUUGCGUUCAAUUCAUAUGAUUAUGUCGCUAUAAUCUAUUAACGGUAGACAUCCAUAGACUUAUAAUUAAAUAAAAACAACGUUUAAAAACCUCCAGUAUUAGCGAAAAUCUUGAAGGUUAUAAUGGGCCUUGUUGGGCCGGGUUUGAGCCGAUUAAAAGUGCAACACAACGCACGUAUUAAA